rnacentral:rRNA from 1 species
UACGGAGGAUCCAAGCGUUACCCGGAAUUACUGGGCGUAAAGAGUUGCGUAGGCGGCAUGAUAUGUCAGGUGUGAAAUCUUGAGGCUCAACCUCGAGGCUAUACCUGAAACUAUCAAGCUAGAGCAUGAGAGGGGUACCUGGAAUUCCCGGUGUAGGAGUGAAAUCCGUAGAUAUCGGGAGGAACACCAAUGGCGUAGGCAGGGUACUGGCUCAUUGCUGACGCUCAGGCACGAAAGCGUGGGGAGCGAA